CAAUGGCCCGCAGUGCUCCCAUCUCCUUCCUGCUACUGUUCACCCUCUGUCUGUGGAGAGCCAGAUCUGAUACAGACCCCAGUAAGGUAGAGAAGGGGAGGACGCAGCUACAGCUGCUGCAGAACUUCGCUAAACAUCCUCGCUAUGGAGACUGCUGGAGAAGAGCUCUGCAGAGAGUGGACGUGGGAUGCAAGCAGCUCAACGAGGAGGAGCAAAGCAGAAUAGCUCUGGCCUUCACCCACUGUCACUUGGAGAGAUCAGGGCGAGACUUCCCGGUCUGUACGGAGCAGAGCACGGUGCGGGAGUGCACACACAGCAUGGACCCUGUGGCAUUCAAUGCCUACACUGAGUUCUUCACCCAUGCACACAGUAUCUGCUACUACCUGCAGAACGAGCUGUGGCAGGAGGAGGCCCAGGACAUCAUCCUCAGGCUGACCGUGAAUUCUGACAGCGUCGCCAAACAACUGGAAGCGACAAACCUCAUGGCGGGAGAAAUGAUGGAAGCUCAGAAUGCCACACUCCAGUCGCAGGAGGAGAUCCUACGCAACGGGCACCUGCUGAAGCAGACCCUCCAGGAGUCCACGAUGGGAGUGAGACAAGCUUUCCAUGAAAUGCAGCAGUCGGCCAGCGAGCAGCGCCUGCUCUUCUCCGAAAUCUUUAACAGAAUCACCUACCUGCACCAGUUUGUGGUGGGAGAGUCGAAUACCCUCUACUCCUUCCUGUACAACCUCAUGGGCUGUGGUGCAGUGUUCCUGGUGACCUCCACUCAGCGCACAGCUGGCGCCAGGCUGGUUCUGUUUGGUCUGGUGGCUGCCAACAUCUAUACAGAGAGGAUGAUCUGCUCCUAUAUCUUGGGAGGCUCUCAGCCCAGCUAUGACCAGACGGAGAGCGUCACCUUCUGGAUUGGGAUAGCAAGAAAGAUCUCCAUUUCCCUUGGGUUACUGGUUCUUCUUUAUGUCUCCGUAACACAUCGGGAUAUUCAGAAGCAGAGCUUGGAGGUGCUCCACGGACUUCAGGAGACUAAAGCUGAGCUGCAGAGCAUUAUACGGGAAGCCGAAAAGCUGCUCAACAAACGCGAGAAUUCCCAAGAGAAGUUUAUACUGAAGGAAGACUUGAUCUUUGGAGAUUCUGGGAUUCCCGAUCCUUCCUUUAUUCAGGAACUUCCCGGGGGCGACAGCCUGAGAGACUCCAUGUAUAGCGUACAACUGGGUGAGAUCACAAAUUACAAGCACGCCAAGAAGAGGAGUUCGCUCCCGUUCACGUAGCGGCGGCCGCAGAAGGAGCUCUAGACCGUCGGAGCCAGCGGUAUACAAUGUCCCGGUAACACAGCCAAUGACUCCACGUUACAACCUGCGCAGCGGGGCUUCGAUGGACCAUUCUGAAUUGUAAACUGCGUGGCCCCUGGGCUUUCUGAUUCCCACCCUGCACUUAAUGUGAUGAUUUCCGCUUCCAAUGUGCAAGACGUCUUGAAC